UGUCAGGAGUUAUGAAAUGUACGGGUGCCAAUACCACUCGUGCUUGACAAAGGCUCCAAAGGAAGCUCCGGCUAACUUCGUGCCAGCAGCCGCGGUAAGACGAAGGGAGCGAGCGUUGUUCGGAAUCACUGGGCAUAAAGGGUCUGUAGGCGGCUUGGGAAGUGGGAUGUGAAAUCCCCCGGCUUAACCGGGGAACUGCAUUUCAAACUCCCAGACUUGAGGAACAGAGGGGAGAGUGGAACUUCUGGUA
rnacentral:rRNA from 1 species